AGUGAGGGAUGAUUCCAGAAAAAUUUUAUACCAGCCAACUGCGUUCUCCGUUUUUACAAGCUAGCUUGUAAAAGUAACUGAGAUGGGAUAGAGGGUUACUCAGUAUGAACCAAACUAUUCUAGUCUCAAGUGAAGGAAAAUAUGAGGUUUAAAAGGUAGUACUGAGUGUUCUCGCUAUCCCAUUUAAGUUGCCUGGAAUCUUUUAGCUCCAUGGAUAACGUAAGUGAAGGUAUGAAAAAUAUAUAUUCGUCGGUCUUCUAGGACAAACAAAUUUUUUUCUUUGUUGUGAAGUCCAACACGGCCCGUUGUUGAGGAUGGUGGGCUUUUUUGGUUUUAGUAGUUCGUUAAUAUGAUCUGGAAAUGGAGGUGUUCAAAAUUAGGGUUAUAAUGCAGGGAAGAUGUUAAACUCUGGAAAUGAGUGCAUGACGUUAAUUAGGUACUAUUCACUAGAUGUGGAAAGGGCGUACUGUUUAUAUGAUUAGAAGUAGAUGUCAUAGUAAAUCUGUACUUACACACCACGUGAUGGACCUUUGAAAGUAAAGGAGAGGAAAAAGACACGUUAACGUAAUGCCUUACAUUCGUUUUUGUCGGGUCAUCAGUCGAAAAUUUACUAUAAAUAAGUAGUAAAGAUGGUCCAUAUAUUACACACACAAUCUUUCUUGGUAACUCCUAUUAAAAGCUCAGAUAUCGCAAUCAAGGACAAAAGCUGGUGAAGUUGACACAAGGGAAAGAUGGGUCAACUUGUACGAAUAAGAAGUGGAAAUUGGAUAAAAAAUGAAGGGUUGUUGGCAAUUCGAAGGAGAUCCAGAGAGGGUGGAUCAGUAUAUACUUGGAAGCACUAAACAAGAUUUCUCAUCCUUUACCCGUACCAUACGUGAGGAGUUGGGUAUUGCACCGGAAUGCCCAUUCGUAUUAACAUAUCAACUCCCAGAGAUCAUGUUGGACGGCGUUUCUGCAAAUCCUCAACCAGCAAACAUACUAGAUUCGGAUGACGUGGAAGCCGUGAUGAGUGUGCUCGAGUGGACAAACGGAAUCCAACUGUCUAUCAUUAUCGGGGUUAGUAAUGUCGCCAAAUAUCAGUUCCUAUGUAGAACUCCUUUCCGAAUCGGUGACGUUAGAUAUUUAGAUGGGAGAGCAACGGAGGAUGACCAUAUCUCGUCACUAAGAGGUCUUGUCGGAGGAGGCGUCCUGUGAUGCGGCGAAACGUUACUGCAUCAUCUCUUCACCGAUGAUAAAUUGGUCCUCAUUUACCGUUUGUCCUAUGAGAUUGAAAAGGCUAGAGGGUAUCCAUUAUACGAGAAAACUGGUAAAAGGAAAAGCUAUACACUAUAUCUUACUGUAAAAUUUACAGUAGCCUCAUUCCAUAUUUGAGCAAAAAUAGUUUAGUAUAGUUUGCAAAGAAGUUUGGAAGUGGGUAUUUUUUAAUGCAGUAAUGAAAACCGGAUAUAAGUAGAUGUUUCCGGUUACAGAAAUUUAUCUAAGGAACAUACUUUGAGCAUUUGAAAUUUCCCCAGCAUCACCUAAUUCAAGUAUAUUAAUAUACAACGUCCAAGUAAUGAACUGGUUUAGCUUAUUUCAUCGCCAGUAAAAACGCCAAUGAAAAUUUGGGCAACACUGCGUAAAAAUAUAAGUAUGUUUACAGUAGCUUUUAAAUGAUAAUAUCCUGAUAUUUUACUUGUUAACCGGAUUAGUUAAAAUUAUAGGGUUAUUUCUAAGCUGAUAUAUUUUUAAAAA